rnacentral:rRNA from 1 species
UACGUAGGGGACGAGCGUUGUCCGGAAUUACUGGGCGUAAAGCGUGCGCAGGCGGUUUGCUAAGACAGGUGUGAAAUCCCCGGGCUUAACCUGGGAACUGCGCUUGUGACUGGCAGGCUAGAGUACGGUAGAGGGGGUGGAAUUCCUGGUGUAGCAGUGAAAUGCGUAGAUAUCAGGAGGAACACCGAUGGCGAAGGCAGCCCCCUGGGCCUGUACUGACGCUCAUGCACGAAAGCGUGGGGAGCAAACAGGAUUAGAUACCCCUGUAGUCCCU